rnacentral:sRNA from 1 species
UUGAGCUAAACUUCACCUGUGAUCAACGAUUUAUUGGUCCCAGUUUAUAUAAUUUGCCACACCUUUAACAAAUUAGCUAUAAAACUACUUAAAACACAAUUUAAAAUGCCAUAAUCCGGUAAAUACUUUGUUUCAAAUGGCCCUAGGCCUUUGUUCUUUUAUUUUUCAGAUUAUUGAAAAUGAAUUAUCUGCCCCAUACUUUAAAAGAUAUUUUUUUCUUAAAAAACACUUUUUCCUACUAUAUUGUUUAGACCAUUUUGUUUUAAAUUAUCUGUUAAGUUUAUUUUUAUAUAUUAAUUAUUUUUAUAAUGAAGGCCAUGUUUAGUUCGUGUGCCAAAAUUUUUUUGAAGUACACGGAUACACAUUUAAAGUAUUAACUAUAGACUAAUAACAAAACAAAUUACAGAUUCCACCUGUAAACUGCGAGACGAAUUUAUUAAGCCUAAUUAAUCCAUCAUUAGUAAAUAUUUACUGCAGCAUCACAUUGUCAAAUCAUGACGUAAUUAGGCUCAAAAGAUUCGUCUCGCAAUUUACCUGCAAACUGUGUAAUUGGUUUUUUCAUCCAUAUUUAAUGCUUCAUGUAUGUGUCUAAAUAUUUAAUGGGACGGAAAAAUUGAAAGUUUAAAGGAACUAAACACUGUCUAAAUAGAUAAUCCUCUAAAUCUAACAUGACCCUAACUUAUUUAUAUGAAAAUCGCUAGCUAUGGAGUAUUAGAGCCGAGCAUGUGCAGUGGCAAAAUUGAAUGGUGGGCAAACACAUGUACUAAGACUGUCAGCUAGUCAGUUAUUGCAUGGCAACCCCAAGUCAACUGUUGCGAAUCUUGAACCAUCUGCAAGGAUUUAAAACGGCCACCUACCCAUAACCAAAGCAGCUCGUGAUGAUUUGUUGCUGUUCUUCACCAUUGAUAUCCUUUACAAACACAACUGGCCCAGCAGCUCAGCUAUAUAUGCAGCCUCCACAUUCCACAGUUGCACACAUCCGAGCGAGGACACCGGCUGGCGAUCGAGCAUAUAUAUGCAUGCACUUGAUUCUUUACAACGACUCGCGUACGUACCAGUACCAUCCUUUUCAUUACUGAAUUUUGCUCAACAAUCGGCGCCCGUUUUGGUUACGUCUCAGGAUCUGUUUCCAGCUGCACAUGGGUAAACUGCUUCAAUCUGCGGCGCCACAUUAUUGAAGCCAUUGGUGAAUUGGUGAGGUGAAAUGCGCGAAAUUUCACGAGCGGCCGGUCGAUCUCUUGGUGAGGUGAAAGCGGUGAAAAUCUGAAAUCUCGCGUCAGAUUUGUUCACUGGAGCUGGUGGUGGUGACAACCUACUGCAAACGUCUGAACCUGCAAUUUAACGUUUAUGACGGCCCUGCCUGAGUGGCUGACACGACGAUGAAAAAUGAAUUUAAUCAUGCAUGCAUGGCUUGCAUGUACGUACGUACUACGUACGUAGCAAAUCUGUAUUAACAUGCAUGCAUUGAUGGAAGCCAAUAAAGGAUCGAUCGAUAAGAAAACAUCGAGGGCCAGGGAUGCUACGUGAAGGCCCGACCGUUGUUUGUUGUAGCGAUUAAUUCGAACUUAGAAGUGUGGACAUGGGGCCGAGACAAGAUCAGAAGCCGAGUUAAUGAUUACACAAAGGCUUUGAAUUACAUUUUUGCUAUUUUACUUACAAUGGAUUUUUAGGUUUCUGUCUUUCAACUUUCGUUCGUAGGAUUUUGUAUCAAAAUUCAUGUUCAUGUAUAUCAAGCUUACAUAUAUACUUUGUUAGAUAGCAUUUAUAUCCAGUUAGCAUAUAUUUAUACUCAGUUACAGUGCACCAAAAUUAGAUUUUACACUAUUUUUUCUAGAUUUAUGAUUAUUUAUUUUUGUUAUUUCAUUUAAAAUGGGAUAUAUCAUUGGUUAAAAUUUUUGCAAGAUAGUCCCUUGAAAAAAUUCUGCAAGAUUUAAAGUUAUAAAUCCAUUAAAAGAUCAAUAGAUAUCCCUUUAAUUAUAUUGUUGAGCUGAUGGUUAUCGUGAAUUAUCUAUUUAUUGCAUGGUAAAUUAAAUAUUAUGAAAAGUAACUUACCAAAGAACUUAAAAUAACUUAAAAUAAGUGGUCUAAAUAAUACUACAGUAGAAGAUUUUUUUUUGAGAAAACAUUUUUUUUUCAAAUCGUGAAGCAAGUAAUCAGUUUUAAUAAUUUUAUGAAUGAGGCCUUGUUUAGUUCCCAAAACAAAAACUUUUCACCCAUCACAUCGAAGAUAUUUGGACACAUGCAUGGAGUAUUAAAUGUGGAAAAAAUCAAUUACACAGUUUGCGUGUAAAUUGCGAGACGAAUAUUUUAAGUAUAAUUGCGCCAUGAUUUGGUAAUGUGGUGCUACAGUGAAUAUUUGCCAAUGACGGAUUAAUUAGGCUUAAUAAAUUCAUCUCACUGUUUCCUAGCGGAAUCUGUGGUUUGUUUUGUUAUUAGACUACGUUUAAUACUUCAAAUGUGUGUCCGUAUAUCCGAUGUGAUAACCAAACCCAAAAUUUUUCCCCAAGUGGUGGUGUUUGGAUGUAGGGACUAAACUUUAGUCUUUGUCACAUAGGGUGUUUGACACUAAUUUAGAGUAUUAAACAUAGACUAAUAAUAAAAAUAAUUGCAUAAAUGAGAGCUAAUUUACGAGAUGAAUUUUUUAAGUCUAGUUAAUCCAUAAUUAGCAAAUGUUUACUGUAGCAUCACAUGGACUAAUCAUGUAUUAAUUAGGCUCAAUAGAUUCGUCUUGCGAAUUAGUCCAAGGUUUAUAGAAUAUGUUUUAUAAUUAAUCUAUGUUUAAUACUCUAAAUUAGUGUUCAAACAUCUCAUGUGAUAGAGACUUAAAAAAAAUUUAGUCCCUGAGCUGAAAAGAACGGAGCCGAAGUAUUGGACUGGACCCGAGAUCUCCUCUCUGCUACAUGCUUCCAUUCAAAUCAAUCGUCGGUCUUUUACUCCCCCACAGACAUGAGACACGGCGUGCCAACUUCUUUUGGUAAAGAGUUGGGGGAUGGAAAUGACGAGUGUAUGAUCCCUAGAAAUUCUUGGCGAAGACUAAAGUUGGGAAAAGCGGCUGGCUUCAUGAGGAAGUCACCACCACACUCCCCCGGCCCGCUGCGAUGGGCCCCGAAAGCCUCUU